rnacentral:rRNA from 1 species
GACGAACGCUGGCGGCGUGCUUAACACAUGCAAGUCGAACGGAAAGGCCCUGCUUUUGUGGGGUGCUCGAGUGGCGAACGGGUGAGUAACACGUGGGUAACCUGCCCUUGACUUUGGGAUAACUUCAGGAAACUGGGGCUAAUACCGGAUAGGAGCUCCUGCUGCAUGGUGGGGGUUGGAAAGUUUCGGCGGUUGGGGAUGGACUCGCGGCUUGUCAGCUUGUUGGUGGGGUAGUGGCUUACCAAGGCUUUGACGGGUAGCCGGCCUGAGAGGGUGACCGGCCACAUUGGGACUGAGAUACGGCCCAGACUCCUACGGGAGGCAGCAGUGGGGAAUAUUGCACAAUGGGCGGAAGCCUGAUGCAGCAACGCCGCGUGCGGGAUGACGGCCUUCGGGUUGUAAACCGCUUUCGCCUGUGACGAAGCGUGAGUGACGGUAAUGGGUAAAGAAGCACCGGCUAACUACGUG